GAAGGAUCUUCCACUUAAGGUGUCUGACCAAGCUAGCUCAGUCAGUUAACAGGGUUACAAGGGAGGGAGGGAGAAUUGAAAAGGAAGAAAAACAAUUAGGCAAAAUUAUAACAUGACCCCGCCAGAACCGAGACUGAAACAGCUUUAUUUUUCUCCAGUCUGCUUUUAUAUCAUUCUAGGUAUAUCCAAGAAACAUGGUCAGUUCUUAGAUCAAAGACAAAGCCAUCAAGUGAAGUAGUAGUAAACAAGGAGAUCACACAAGAGAGUAAUCAAGCAGAGUAGUAAGCCAAGAGAUGACACAAGGUGACAAGUAAAGUAGUAAGGCAAGAGACCACACAGGGAAUAAUUCAGCAAAGCAGUAAGCAAAGCCCCACGAUCACUGUUUCUAAUAUUCUUACUGAGCCUACAUCCUUGUCUGAGUCCAGUGACAAAUGCCAAAUUCCUAGAAGCAGCACCAAAAGCUCUCAGCAGGUGUCAGUAUCCCUAAGCAACUAUGGCUGGUCUGAAUAAGAGUGAGCAUGAGACAGUGAGCAAGGACUAGAGAUGACCAGGAAACAACGUCUCUUCUGGGUUUUGCCUUCAGUUUCUACCUUGAAUUUAUAUCCUAAGUUUCCACAACGGUGGAUUGUGAUCUGGCAGUAUCAGCCCCGCCCCCCCCCCCCAAAAAAAAAACCUAUUCAUUACCUGAGUUGCUUUGGGGUAGAGGAUUUAAUCAUAGGAACAGAGAAGCAACAUAGAACAAAAACCCCUACCUCAUAAGUGAUUUUGUUGCUGUGAAGUACAGUGAUUUGGAGGAAUGUGGAAGAUAUUACUACUUUAGAAGGCAAAAGCUAUCAGAAUCUGUGUGCAGAGGUUAAUCCGUUAUGCUGGUAUACCUAGGAAAAGGGAGUUUCUAGAGUAGUACAGAGAGUGGAGGUUGAUGUCAUAGGAUUUCAGUGGCAAAUAGGGUCCAUGAAAAAUUAAACUACAGGUUUUUGUGUGAUGUUUGCCUUCAAACUCUUUCUUAUUGUGCCCAUGCACUGUAGAAAUGAGUUUGAUGGAAAAAAAGAGACUGAUUUCUUAGAUAAAAUAUUUAUUUUAGUGUAUAGUUGUUACUGAUGACUCAUGCAUGUUUGCAACAAAAAGUAACACAAGUGGUGUGUAAAGAUAGAACAAGUCUGUGAUUUGUACAGAAAAACACCGCAAAGUAGUUUCAGAUGGCAUUCAAAUGCUAAAACAAAGGCAGGAAUAUUCAAGGAAAAUAGCACCAUUAAAUUUCCAUUGAAUUGGAAGCUUAGUAAUAGUAUCCUAAUGGUAAGACUCUCUUCAGCUAAACAUUUAUGAAAGGAACAGGCAAAGUGAUUCCUAGUCCCAAGAAUCAACUUCAUUCAGAACCUGCUCCAACUGUGGUCCAAGUGUGGCAGGGUCCAUCCCAAUCUCGAAGCCCAACUUGACAGGAUCACCUCUGUUGUCCUGGUUCUGGAAACAAGAAAGUUGCAAAGUUUAAAGGUCAUGAAUUUUUCCUCUGUGGUUUCAGUUCAGCCCUGUUGUACUCAACUAUGUUUGGCAGAAUCAGAGCCUCAGUGAGAAGAGUGUAAGCUCAAUGCAUGAAGCGGUGAAUAUGAUGCCUGGUUUGCAUCUUGAGACCACAAGAUCUUGAGAUACCUGAGCUAUAAGAUAUAUGACAUAGUGAGUGGAAGGAGCAAGGUGGAGGGGGACAAAGGGAGAGGUGGAGAGACAGAGGCGGGGAGAGAGGGAGAGAGAGAGAGGCAUGCAAACAGAUUCAGAGGUGACAGAGAUGACAAGUUUCAGGGAUAGAGACAUGUAAACCUUUUAAAACUUUAGCCCAUGUGUCUGAGGCAGAGCUCUAGGAUUUGGGGUUUGCCUUGCUGGGUUUCGGUCUUGCCUUUGUCAAAUCUUUCUUCUAUUUUCAAAUGGGAAUGUGUAGUAUGUUGUUGUAUUUUCAAAAUAUAUAACUGGUUUCCUAAUUUUAGAAGAUGUCAUAGUCAAAAAAUUCUGUCUGUCUGUCUAUCAGAAGAGACUGAACAUUUGGUUGGGGUUCUUAUUAGGAUCCUUGAAGUUUAACACGUGUAUGUUUUGAUGAUCAAAAGCACAUAGUAACCUGGAUCAGUAGUAGUAUAUUCAAUGAAAAACCUCCCAGAUAGAAUAAUGUAUUUGAACACUUGUCUCUCAUUGGUUGUUGUCUUUGGAGUGCAUAUGGAGUCUUGAGUAGGCAGAGCCUUGCGGGUGGAAGUUCCCUGUUGGGGUUGAGAUUAGAAUGUCUAUAGCCUUUCCCCAUUAUCAAUUCAUUGUGCCUACAUUCUUAUAGUUGAAUCUGAUUAGCCAGCUUUUACCACAUAGUGCUAUACCUUUAACAUGCACUGUAUUGCUAAAUAACAUAAGAUAGAGAAGAAGUAUUGGCUUUUCAUUGAUAAGCCAUUUGCUAGCCAGAUAUAUAUAAUUUUAUUAUUUUCGGUUUAGUUUUUGAGGACAAGUUUUCUCCGUGUUGCUUUGGCUGUCCUGACAUUAGCUCUUGAGAUUCAGUUCAUCUUGAUCUGUCUGAUUCCUCCUCUCAUGUUCUGGGAUUAAAGGAUGCAGUGACCUAUGAUGAUGUGCACAUAAACUUCACUCAGGAAGAAUGGGUCUUGUUGGAUCUUUCUCAAAAGAGGCUCUACAAAGAUGUUAUCCUGGAGACCUACAGGAACCUCACUGCUAUAGGAGAGAAA
rnacentral:lncRNA from 1 species